AACCAUGUGGCAGCCUUGGAGUUGCUCUGAACCUAUUCUGGUUCUGAGGUCUGCCCCAUUCUGGAAUUGUUUUUUGAUCAAUUAAGCCCUAUCAAAUUUAAUUUGUCUACAGUUUUUCAUUUAACAGAUGGCAUCAGAAGUGGGAUUCAAAGUAGAGCUUCCUGGGACCCUCAGGAGCACUGACUGACCAGGUGAGACACCUUCCAGGGUCGUCAUGUCCAUUGGUCACUUGCAGCAACUGAGGAUCAUGGGUACUGAGGAGUGCAUGUGGAGGGUUCUGGCAAGAGGCCCAGGGGUUGAGUGAAGCUUCAUGCCUAUAUCAUUUCAACUUGGAGACCUGAAGGAAAGAGCUCUCACCACCCUUCUUCCCAGAAGGAAGGGGUUUCGUUAUGUUGCACGGGUUGACCUCAAACUCCUGGACUCAAGUGUUCCACCCACUUCGGCCUCUGGAUUUGCUGAGACUACAGAUAAUGAAGAUGAUUACUAUUUCUGAUGCUCCAUUUUCUAGCCACUUAGUCCAAGUGAUAUUUCGUAACUUUGAAC